rnacentral:rRNA from 1 species
UCGAGCGGAGAGGCCCUUCGGGGUACUCGAGCGGCGAACGGGUGAGUAACACGUGAGCAACCUGCCCUAGGCUUUGGGAUAACCCCGGGAAACCGGGGCUAAUACCGAAUAGGACCUGGCCUCGCAUGAGGCUGGGUGGAAAGUUUUUCGGCCUGGGAUGGGCUCGCGGCCUAUCAGCUUGUUGGUGGGGUGAUGGCCUACCAAGGCGACGACGGGUAGCCGGCCUGAGAGGGCGACCGGCCACACUGGGACUGAGACACGGCCCAGACUCCUACGGGAGGCAGCAGUGGGGAAUAUUGCACAAUGGGCGGAAGCCUGAUGCAGCGACGCCGCGUGAGGGAUGACGGCCUUCGGGUUGUAAACCUCUUUCAGCAGGGACGAAGCGUAAGUGACGGUACCUGCAGAAGAAGCGCCGGCCAACUACGUGCCAGCAGCCGCGGUAAGACGUAGGGCGCGAGCGUUGUCCGGAUUUAUUGGGCGUAAAGAGCUCGUAGGCGGCUUGUCGCGUCGACCGUGAAAACUUGGGGCUCAACCCCAAGCCUGCGGUCGAUACGGGCAGGCUAGAGUUCGGUAGGGGAGACUGGAAUUCCUGGUGUAGCGGUGAAAUGCGCAGAUAUCAGGAGGAACACCGGUGGCGAAGGCGGGUCUCUGGGCCGAUACUGACGCUGAGGAGCG